UUUUAUUUAUAAUGUGAUGUUUUGGUGGUCCUUUUGAUGUGUGAUUGUAGAUUAUCUGCUAAUCAAUCCAUACUUAUGUGGACAAUUUUUUUACAUUUAUGCUUGCAUGUAUUGAUAUGUUUUUAUAUGUGAGUUGUUGUCGAUCGAUUUGUAAAAAACCAUUGACCGAGUACUAAGUACCACAACCAAAUGGAAGAGCUUCAAAAUUACAGUGUAGCGAAUUAAAAAACUAGAAUGACG
rnacentral:lncRNA from 1 species